GACAGAGGGUGCAAACGUUGUUCGGAAUUACUGGGCAUAAAGGGCACGUAGGUGGUCCGCUAAGUCACGUGUGAAAUCCCCCGGCUCAACCGGGGAAUUGCGCGUGAUACUGGCGGACUUGAGGCAGGUAGGGGUGAGUGGAACUCCAGGUGGAGCGGUGAAAUGCGUAGAUAUCUGGAGGAACACCGGUGGCGAAAGCGGCUCACUGGACCUGAUCUGACACUGAGGUGCGAAAGCUAGGGUAGCAAACGGG
rnacentral:rRNA from 1 species